CUUCACUUGCUAUUGAAGAUUCAAAUAUUACCUGACAAUUUUAACAUUAAAAAUCCUUUGGAAUUGUAUGGUCUUAGAUUCCAUUUUUUAAAAAGUACAGCAUGGCCACAUGCUAAUCGAAAGACCCUUCAGUGAACUCCAACACAUGGACGCUAAACUAUUGAGAUCAUUCAGUACUACUUGUCCGAACAUACACACAACAACAACAACAACAACAAACGAGUAUAAUCUCAUUUAGUGGGGUCUGGGGAGAGUAGUGUAUACGCAGACCUUAUCCCUACACUAUGGUAGAGAGGCUGUUUCCAAAUAGUCCCCGGGAUCAUUCCCUCCAAGAACUUCCCACCUUGCUCUUGGGAGACUCGAACUCACAACCUCUCGAUUGGAAGUGGGGUUGCAUACCAUCAGAGAAACCUCUCUUGUCAAAUAAUGGACAAUAAAAACAUACACACACAUCAGAAUCUCCUGGCAGUAAUGAACCACUGAUACUCAAACUACAACAAAACAAAAAUGAAUGAAACUAGAUCUAUGAAAUAAUGGACAAACAUAAUCGAAGCUAUCAAGACAGCAUCAUAAGGACUACAAUGAGAUUUUAGUAGUAGCCUUCAGAAUGCUACCGCUCUUCUACAUAUACUUAGAAGAUCCACUUUUAGCUUUGAACCGUAAGGAUAUAACCAUGUCAAAGAUCAUAUCAUUCGAGAAAGCGUGGCAUCAUACAUGACAUUCCUAUUGAACCAUGACUAUCUAGCAAACCCAGAUACUUGUAUAAAAGCUGAGAAAAACUAAAAAAAAAAAAAAAAAAAAAAANNNNNNNNNNNNNNNNNNNNNNNNNNNNNNNNNNNNNNNNNNNNNNAAAAACUGAGAAAAACAAAAAAAAAAAAAAAAAAAAAAACUCAACAGAACACAUGUGAAAGAAUACUGAAAUUCAGCAUUUUUGAGCAUUAACUUCACAUUACAAUUACAUAUUUUAAGAAAGAAAAACAUGCUUGCACUUGUGGUCACUCAAAGAUCAAGAUAGUACAUGGUUAAAGAAUAAGAACAAGGUGAAGGAGAUGAUAUCAACGGAAGAACAACAAGAGAAAAUAAAAUUGUAACCCGGCAACAAAUGACAACAGUAAUAUAGCUCCAAUUUAGUCCAUAUUCAAACCAGAAAUCAAGUAGAGUUUUUUGAUUUCUUGCUAAACAAAAUCAGAAGGAAAUAAACUAACUCCUAAUGAAACCAGUGUAGAAAAAAACUUUUGAGCCCUUUUUUAGAGUCUCCUUAUCCGUAUCCUAUUGUUCAAAUGUGUGAAGAAAGAGUAUUUUUAUAGGCCUAUGAAAAGCCAUGUGUUGAAAAAUAAAAACUCAAAUCAUUCAGUCACAUAACCCCUUAAAAGCAUCUUUUUAACAGAAAUGAGACAACUGACACCCUCUUAUUGGUUUCAUUAUUUUUGUACUGGCCAAAUAGAGCCAGUUGCCCCAAAUUCUAGAAGCUUCUAAUAUUAACCUUAUCUAAAAAUCCUAUUUCUAUUUUCCAAAUUAACUCACUAAGUUUUAUUUGUUCAGUUAAUCCCCUAUAAUUCCAAUUCGUUUAUACAUCAGAACCAAUACCACAAGACAAGAAUUAACAGCGGAGCAAUUCAUGGAUAAGAGGAAGGAUCUUCACAUGGUGCUUAUUGACCUGGAGAAGGCAUAUGAUAACGUCCCAAGGGAGGUGCUAUGGAGGUGUUUGGAGACGAAGAGCGUGCCGGAAGCCUACAUCAGAGUAAUCAAGGACAUGUACAAUGGAGCUNNNN
rnacentral:lncRNA from 1 species